rnacentral:rRNA from 1 species
GAUGAACGCUAGCGGCAGGCUUAAUACAUGCAAGUCGAGGGGCAGCACGGGGUAGCAAUACUCUGGUGGCGACCGGCAAACGGGUGCGGAACACGUACAGAACCUUCCUUUAAGCGGGGGAGUAGCCCAUAGAAAUGUGGAUUAAUACCCCAUAGUAAUACUGGCUGGCAUCAGUUGGUAUUUAAAGAUUGAUCACUUAAAGAUGGCUGUGCGGCUGAUUAGGUAGNGGUUGAGGUAAAGGCUCACCAAGCCUGCGAUCAGUAACUGGUGUGAGAGCACGACCAGUCACACGGGCACUGA